UGGUGUGCGUUGUUUUCAGUUUUCAAAAACUCAAACGUGAGCGUCUGUUUUUGUUGGCAUGUGUCACUAAAAUAUAAACUCUUGAAAAAUAUUUGAAAGUGGCAAAAUGACUUAAGGCAAAUAUAUAGCUUGCUUUCCUACAGGAUCUGUAAACUUUCGAGAAUUUGAGAGGUGGAGACACACAAUUUAGUUGAACUGCGGAAGUGGAAAAGUACCUUUUAGUCUCCUUCUUCUAAAAGUGUCUUCCUAAAAGAAGAGACAUACUUAUCAAGGGGGAUUUUGAAAGAAGAAAUUUAUGUCUGAGGUAAGCCAUAAUUUUGCUUUGAACAAAGGUGUACGCAUGAUCACUUAAUUUAUUGAAGAUGAAAGAUAUUGAAACACUAAAAAAUUGAAAAUAACUUGCAUAUUUAAAUUGAUAA